GCGCCGGAUCCCAGGAUCUAUUUAAAUCCGUCCUCCCACCUUUAGGUGCCCUAUUCCGUUCCAGAGUUUCUAUCAGUGUCUGCCUUCUCUUCGAGAGCCCUGUUUCAGUGGGCAUCUUCUCGAGCCGUAGGUGUCUUCCAAAUCGUCCCUGUCUUCGUCCCUCUGGUCCCUCAGAGCGAUAUAGGUUAGUUCCAGCACCUUCAACCUUCUUCCCACCGCCUAGGGACUUCUUCUCUGUCAUUAUUUUUUGCAUCCCUCCAAGUUAGUUUCCUGUGGCCUCUCGUCCCCCAUCCUGUCCGUCUUCUUAGGGACCUUUAAAGCCCUCCUUCGAAACUACCCGAAAUAUUGUCCGGCUCUUCCGCUCCCUGCAGUUCCGGGAGCUCUUCCGCCUCACACCCCCAGGUCCCCUGCUCUGUAGACGAACCUGUGUCUGGGGCUGGGCUCCGCCCGAUUUUUGCAC
rnacentral:lncRNA from 1 species